rnacentral:rRNA from 1 species
CUACGGGUCGCUGCAGUGAGGAAUAUUGCACAAUGGAGGAAACUCUGAUGCAGCAACGCCGCGUGGAGGAUGACGCAUUUCGGUGUGUAAACUCCUUUUAUGAGUCAAGAAAAUGACGGUAGCUCAUGAAUAAGCACCGGCUAACUCCGUGCCAGCAGCCGCGGUAAUAAGGAGGGUGCAAGCGUUACUCGGAAUCACUGGGCGUAAAGGACGCGUAGGCGGGAUAUCAAGUCAGGUGUGAAAUCCUACAGCUUAACUGUAGAACUGCACUUGAAACUGGUAACCUAGAGUAUGGGAGGGGGAGAUGGAAUUAGUGGUGUAGGGGUAAAAUCCGUAGAUAUCACUAGGAAUACCUAAAGCGAAGGCGAUCUCCUGGAACAUAACUGACGCUAAGGCGUGAAAGCGUGGGGAGCAAACAGGAUUAGAUACCCGCGUAGUC